GGAGGUUGCUGCGGCACCGCAGCCUUAGAGCGGGGGGUCUUUAGCAGCGUCAUCACCGGCGCCGUUGGCGAAGAGGUGUGAUAAAAAAAAAUUAUAGAAAAAAAAAGAAGAAAAAAAUAAAGAUAAAAAAUUAUAUAAGAAGGAAGAAGAAGAUGAAAUUGGACUGUAAAAAUAAAAUUACACUGUUUUAAAAUAAAUUUAUGCUGUUUUAUUGAAAAUUGCUCUAUUUGAUAUAAAAAUUACACUCUUUUAAAAUAAAUUUUACAUUCUUUAGGCUAAUGCUGCACUAUUUAGGAUAAUUUUGCACUAUUUUUUUUUUCUUUUUCUUUUUCUCUUUCUCUUCUUCUUCUCCAAUUCUCUUUUUUCCAU
rnacentral:lncRNA from 1 species